AACGAACGCUGGCGGCAGGCCUAACACAUGCAAGUCGAGCGAAGCCUUCGGGCUUAGCGGCGGACGGGUGAGUAACGCGUGGGAACGUGCCCUUUGGUACGGAAUAGCCCCGGGACACUGGGAGUAAUACCGGAUGUGGUCGAGAGACGAAAGAUUUAUCGCCAAAGGAUCGGCCCGCGUUGGAUUAGGUAGUUGGUGGGGUAAUGGCCUACCAAGCCGACGAUCCAUAGCUGGUUUGAGAGGAUGAUCAGCCACACUGGGACUGAGACACGGCCCAGACUCCUACGGGAGGCAGCAGUGGGGAAUCUUAGACAAUGGGGGAAACCCUGAUCUAGCCAUGCCGCGUGAUCGAUGAAGGCCUUAGGGUUGUAAAGAUCUUUCAGUGGGGAAGAUAAUGACUGUACCCACAGAAGAAGCCCCGGCUAACUCCGUGCCAGCCGCCGCGGUAAGAC
rnacentral:rRNA from 1 species